GUGACACUGAACUGCUCUGAGGGGUAUCGGCCGUCACCAGCUGUGAUCGAAUGUGUCAGAAAUGGGAGCCAGUCUGUCUGGAGUGAGACACCCACCUGCCGGGGCGUUUGUACGAGGGCAGGAAACUGGCCCCCGUCGGUCUCUGCUGCCUCCGCACAGACAGAGUUUGCCGUUGGCGAGGGGGUUUGGGUGACCUGUCGCCAGGAGCAGUACGAGGGGAGCCCGGCUUGGAUGCGAUGUACAGAGACGGCUGGGCGCGUGGAGUGGGACACGAGCCGUGUGAGCUGUGUGGAAAAGUGUAAAGCUCCAGACACCCGGGACGCCAGGGUCCGGUUCGCCCUCAAGCAGCAGUUUUACAGCCCAGGGGACUCGGUGACAUGGAGCUGCCCUGCGGGGUACCGGCCCUCGCAGCCUGCGAUCAGAUGCACUAGACGGGGAAGCCAGAAUGUCUGGAGUGGGACAGCCG